AGCAGUCGCCGCGGUAAUACGGAGGGUGCAAGCGUUAAUCGGAAUUACUGGGCGUAAAGCGCACGCAGGCGGUUUGUUAAGUCAGAUGUGAAAUCCCCGAGCAUAACUUGGGAACUGCAUUUGAAACUGGCAAGCUAGAGUCUUGUAGAGGGGGGUAGAAUUCCAGGUGUAGCGGUGAAAUGCGUAGAGAUCUGGAGGAAUACCGGUGGCGAAGGCGGCCCCCUGGACAAAGACUGACGCUCAGGUGCGAAAGCGUGGGGAGCAAACAGGAUUAGAGACCCCGGUAGUCCCUGUCUCUUAUAC
rnacentral:rRNA from 1 species